UGGCGACCAUAGCAAGAGUGAACCACCUGAUCCCUUCCCGAACUCAGAAGUGAAACCUCUUAGCGCUGAUGGUAGUGUGGGGUCUCCCAUGUGAGAGUAAGUCAUCGCCAG
rnacentral:rRNA from 1 species